GCCCGGGAGCGAUGACAUCGACGGGGAAGGACGGCGGCGGGGCGCAGCACGCGCAGUAUGUGGGGCCCUACCGGCUGGAGAAGACGCUGGGCAAGGGGCAGACAGGCCUGGUGAAGCUGGGAAUCCACUGCGUCACCUGCCAGAAGGUCGCCAUCAAAAUUGUCAACCGUGAGAAGCUCAGUGAGUCGGUGCUGAUGAAGGUGGAGCGAGAGAUUGCCAUCCUGAAGCUCAUCGAGCAUCCACAUGUCCUGAAGCUGCAUGACGUCUAUGAAAACAAAAAAUAUUUAUACCUGGUGCUAGAACACGUGUCUGGGGGAGAGCUGUUUGACUACCUGGUGAAGAAGGGACGGCUGACCCCCAAGGAGGCCCGCAAGUUCUUCCGGCAGAUCAUCUCUGCACUGGACUUCUGCCACAGCCACUCCAUAUGCCACAGAGACUUGAAGCCAGAGAACCUGUUGCUGGAUGAGAGGAACAACAUCCGUAUUGCAGACUUUGGCAUGGCAUCCCUGCAGGUGGGAGACAGCCUGCUGGAGACCAGCUGCGGAUCCCCACACUAUGCCUGUCCGGAAGUGAUUCGGGGUGAGAAGUAUGAUGGCCGCAAGGCAGAUGUGUGGAGCUGUGGUGUGAUCCUGUUCGCCUUGCUGGUGGGGGCUCUGCCUUUCGAUGAUGACAACCUGCGGCAGUUGCUGGAGAAGGUCAAGCGUGGUGUGUUUCACAUGCCACACUUUAUCCCACCAGACUGCCAGAGUCUUCUGCGUGGCAUGAUUGAGGUGGAUGCAGCUCGGCGCCUCACGCUAGAGCACAUUCAGAAACACAUAUGGUAUAUAGGUGGCAAGAACGAGCCAGAGCCGGAACAGCCCAUCCCACGCAAGGUUCAGAUCCGCUCACUGCCCAGCCUGGAAGACAUCGACCCUGAUGUGCUGGAUAGCAUGCAUUCGCUGGGCUGCUUCCGGGACCGCAACAAGCUGCUGCAGGACCUGCUCUCUGAGGAGGAGAAUCAGGAAAAGAUGAUCUAUUUCCUCCUCCUGGACCGGAAAGAACGGUAUCCCAGCCAUGAGGAUGAGGACCUACCUCCCAGGAAUGAGAUAGACCCUCCCCGGAAGCGUGUGGACUCCCCAAUGCUGAACCGGCAUGGCAAGCGGCGACCUGAGCGCAAGUCCAUGGAAGUGCUCAGUGUGACAGAUGGUGGCUCCCCAGUGCCUGCACGGAGAGCCAUUGAGAUGGCUCAGCAUGGCCAGAGUAAAGCAGUGUUCAGUAAAAGCCUGGAUAUCGCUGAAGCCCAUCCCCAAUUCAGCAAAGAAGACAGGUCUCGAUCCAUCAGUGGUGCGUCCUCAGGCCUUUCCACAAGUCCACUCAGCAGUCCUCGGCCUGUUAGGAAGUUCGUCCUGCCCCCUCUGCCCCCUGAGCUUCCCCAUGUGGCCUGCCCCCCGGCCACUUCCUCGGAGCCUGAAGCUUGUCGGAGUGCCUCUCGGCCGGGACACAUCCUCUCUCCACAGGCCGCCCUGCGGCCCAACCCCAAGACUCAGACCUUGCCGUGCAAGGCCAAGCUGACUGACAAGCCGCUGCAGGGCACCAAGUCCAAUCCGCUCCCGGCCUGCACCCAGACCCGGCCUCCUGGAGCCAGCCUUGGCCCUCCACUGGCCCUGUCCCCUGGGCCCCCGACCCUGCCGGCCCCUGCUCGGCUCCUGCCAACUGGGACUGAAUCAAACGCCAAAUCUGUCCCCACCAUACAGGUGACCCCUCACCCCUCACCAAGGGGUAGUCCCCUUCCUACCCCCAAAGGGACGCCUGUCCACACGCCAAAGGAGAGCCCAGCUGGCACACCCAACCCCACACCACCAUCCAGUCCUAGUGUUGGAGGGGUGCCCUGGCGGACACGGCUCAACUCCAUCAAGAACAGCUUCCUGGGCUCACCUCGCUUCCACCGCCGGAAACUGCAAGUUCCCACGCCAGAGGAGAUGUCCAACCUGACCCCAGAGUCCUCUCCAGAGCUGGCCAAGAAAUCGUGGUUUGGGAACUUCAUCAACCUCGAGAAGGAGGAGCAGAUCUUUGUGGUGAUCAAGGACAAGCCCCUGAGCUCCAUCAAGGCUGACAUCGUUCAUGCCUUCCUUUCGAUACCCAGCCUCAGCCACAGCGUUAUCUCCCAGACAAGCUUCCGGGCCGAAUAUAAGGCAACAGGGGGCCCAGCGGUGUUCCAGAAGCCAGUAAAGUUCCAGGUGGAUAUCACCUACACUGAGGGUGGAGAGGCCCAGAAGGAGAAUGGCAUCUACUCAGUCACAUUCACACUGCUCUCAGGCCCCAGUCGCCGCUUCAAGAGGGUGGUGGAGACCAUCCAGGCCCAGCUGCUGAGCACUCAUGACCAGCCAUCAGCCCAGCACCUGUCAGAACCACCCCCGCCAGCGCCAGGACUAAGCUGGGGUGCUGGGCUUAAGGGCCAGAAGGUGGCCACCAGCUACGAGAGUAGCCUCUGACGCUGGCAGACACCACUAACUGUAUGGAAGUGAUGACGGGGCGGCUUUCCAAAUGUGGAAUUAUCCCGAAAAGUUAACAUGUCACCUCCACGAGGCCAUCCUCUGUGCUGCGUGUGGACACUGGCUGACUGAAGGCAGCUGCUGCGGACCACCCUCCUCCUCCUCCUCCUCCUCCUCCUCCUCCUCCUCCUCCUCCUGCUGCUGCUGCUGGGCAGAGAGGCUAGCCCACUGUCCACCACCUCUGCCCGUUCCCUGGCAGCUCUGCAUGGCCCAAGGGAGGAGGGCCUGACUCCCAGGGGACUCUUCUUCUAGCCCAGCCACCCUGGACUCCCAGUGACCAGACCCUUGACAGGGAUAACCUGUCCACCAUCUUCCAGGGUAGGGGACCAUGGUGGGUGAAGCAGUGGGAAUGGAUUGUCCUCCACGCCACAUCUGGAGGCCUCCUGGGCCACUCACCUCGCCUUUUCACACUUUGGCCUCACCAGGGCCACCUCUUCUCAUCUGCAUCCAUUGCUCCACCUUGUCAGGCUGCAGAGCUCCGGUUGUGAUGGUUCUCUCGGGCUGAAGUGGAAAUAAGAGAGCUGGGUGCUCCAGAGCUGCCUGGGCUGGCCAAGCUGUGGAGGCUGGGCUGAGACCAGUAUUAUUUAUUUGCUGUUUUAAUUUAUUGAGUUUCUUUAUGUCUCUGUUCUCUGUUCAGGGAAGGGGGAGCAGCAGCAGCACCCUCCUGCCGUCUGUCUGUCUGUUCUGUCUGUCUGACUUGGGCAGGGUGUGUCUGGAGCCCAGGUUCCCUCUAAGGACAGAGCCGUUGUGGGGCUGGGAACGGUGGGGAGCCAGCCAGUGGAUGCAGCACUGGCAAGCUACUGUAAACUUUAAAAGAAUUCCUGCAAGAUAUUUUUAUAAACUUUCUUUUCUUGGUUGUUUUUGGAAAAGGGCGUGGGGUCGGGCCGCUGGGGCAGAGCUAGAGUUUGUGUUUCGACUCCUUGCUCUUGGCUAUUUCUAUACACAUAUACAUAUAUAUAUAUAUAUAUAUUUAAAGAACGAUGUGGUUAGCUCUGUCCCGGGUUGUUUUAUUACUACUUAGCAGCAGCUCCAGUUCCACACGAGGGCUCAGGAUACAGGGCGUCAGCUUGCACUGGCCAACUGUGCCUGCUUCCCAGAGGUACUGCCCAGUACUUCUCUGCUGCACCAGGCUGAGGGUGAUCUUGGUUUGGUGUCUGAGCGAGAAGGCCCUGAGCUGGCACCCUACUCACACACAGGAUGGCAGGGGUACCUCGGGGCUUUUUAAAAAUUAAAAUAAAAAAGUUAAAAAAAAAAUCAAAGCCAGAAAUGGAGUUAGCAAUGUGCUCUGCAGUGGGUUCCUCCUGGAGGUGGUGAGGGCAAAGGGCCCACACCACUGCCUGCUGCCCACUGAAGCCCACCUCACUUCCCUCAUCCCCAGCUUCUGUCUGUGUUCCGUUCUGUCUGGCUGAGCCAGUCCCUCCCAGCUGGCCCAAGGUGCCCAGCGUAGCAGCAGGAGGGGCCGGGGGGCAGGUUUCAUGCAUGCCUUUGCUCUUCCCCUCAUGUACAGAUUUUAAUGCUUCUAUUACAUUCAACCACCAUAGGCUGGGAUUCCCAUACAUAGGGCAAAAUCAAACACCUAUAACAACAGCAAAGCCACGCAGUACAAGUGGGAAGGAACUUAUCCACGGAGUCAGGAUACUGAAAGCAAUACCUCUUGUUAGCCUUCCUCUUUUGUACUUUGGACACACGCGGACUCGCAGACAUCACAGAAAUGGACAAGCCCCAUCUGGUGUAACCCCUGUCAAAUAACUGUGAGCAAUUUCAGUUCUGGAACAAUAAAUUCCUUCCAUAAAGACA